AACGAACGCUGGCGGCAGGCCUAACACAUGCAAGUCGAACGCUCCGCAAGGGGAGUGGCGCACGGGUGAGUAACACGUGGGAACCUACCUUCUGGUACGGAACAACCAAGGGAAACUUUGGCUAAGACCGUAUACGACCUCCGGGUGAAAGAUUGAUCGCCGGAAGAGGGGCCCGCGUCCGAUUAGGUAGUUGGUGAGGUAACGGCUCACCAAGCCUUCGAUCGGUAGCUGGUCUGAGAGGAUGACCAGCCACACUGGGACUGAGACACGGCCCAGACUCCUACGGGAGGCAGCAGUGGGGAAUAUUGGACAAUGGGCGCAAGCCUGAUCCAGCCAUGCCGCGUGAGUGAAUGAAGGCCUU
rnacentral:rRNA from 1 species